CUUAUGUUCAUUUCAAACCACAAUCUUGACAUGUAUGAAGUAAAACAUGUCAUGAAACCCACUAUCUUUAACAUUCAAACUGGCAGUGAAACAUAAACACCCUUUGAUUUCAAUGAAAUCACUUCUCACACUGUCUUUUCCUGUGUGUGUUUAUGUGUGUGUGUAGGUGUGUGGAGGCUGAACCACGUGUGUUUAGCUGUGUUGGAAUCAGCAUCUACCUGUGUUGAGGACGUGGAGGUCUCUACAGAAGUCUCCACCUGCUCCGUAACCUCCGAACAUGAACACAUGAUCUCCAACCAGGGCGAAACUCUGAUCACACCUGCACACACACCACAACGCACACUGCACUGAGCCACAGAUCAGUCAUCUAAGCUCGCAGUCCAACAGCUGUCCUCUGCGUCUCAUCUUACAGAGACGGAGCCACAGUCCGGACUCUGAACCAGCCUCCGAGCUUCACACCGUCUCCCUGACAGUCUCAGCCUCUGCUGAUUGAUGAUGUAAGACGGUCACGUUUCCCACCGUCACCACUCGUUUUUUUUUUAUCAUGUUUUAUUCACACAGAGACACACACAUAU